rnacentral:misc_RNA from 1 species
UUUCCGUAAGUGAACCUGCGGAAGGAUCAUUAUUGUAUAACCGAGGUGCGAGGGCUGUCGCUGACCCGAAAGGUCGUGCACGCCCGAGUGCCCUCACACACAUCCAUCUCACCCCUAUGUGCACCACCGCGUGGGUCCCCCAUUGGCUUGUUCGGAGGGGGGCUUACGUUUUCACACAAACUUUGUAUGCAGUGUAGAAUGUAUUUUUUGUUUUUGCGAUCACGCAAUCAAUACAACUUUCAACAACGGAUCUCUUGGCUCUC